rnacentral:lncRNA from 12 species
GGGGGGGGGGGGGGGGGGGGGGGGGGGGGGGGGGGGGGGGGGGGGGGGGGGGGGGGGGGGGGGGGGGGGGGGGGGGGGGGGGGGGGGGGGGGGGGGGGGGCGCCCUUUCCCACGUCUCUAUGGUCGCGGCGGAGCCGCUCCGGCCGCGAGUCCUCCAAAACUCGAUGGUACCGCCUUAAAAUGACCCGAAAUCGACCCAAAAUUCGCAGAAUUUCCCCCCCGAAUCCCCAAAAUCACAAUUUUUCAUUCAGGUCCUGCCCCGUGCUGGGAUUUUUGCCGUUCCCAGGGCCCAAAUCCUCUUUAAAAGCCCCAAAAUUCUCAAAUUUACCCCCAAAAAUUCCCUUUAAACCCCUCCCAAAAUGCCCUAGAACCUCCCCAAAACACCCCAAAAUUCCCUUAAAAUGACCCCAAAUCCCCAAAAUCUGCCCCAAAAUGAUCCUAGGAUGCCCCAAAUGAUCCCAAUCACCCCAGGAACCCCAAAAUGACCCCAAAUGACCCCAGGACGUCCCACAAUGACCCCAAGUGACCCCAGGACACCCCUAAGUGACCCCUGAGUGACCCCAGGAUCUCCCAGAUGACCCCAAGACCCCCCAAAAUGACCCCAAAGUUUCCCCAGAUGACACCAAAAUGACCCCAAAGUGACCCCUGAGUGACCCUAAGACCCCUCAGAUGACCCCAAGUGACCCCAAAAUAACCCCAGAACCCCCCAGAUGACCCCAGGACACCCCAAAGUGACACCUGAGUGACCCCAGGAUCUCCCAGAUGGCCUCAGAAUGACCCUAAGUGACCCCAAAAGGACCCCAAGACCCCCCAAAAUUCAAAACUCCAGACUGGACAGGCGGGAACGACUCCGAGCGUUUUUAUUGGCUGGGAGGGGAAAGGGGCGGGGUCAGCGAGGGGUCAAAGGUCAAAUGGAGGUGACCACUCAGGGUGACCCAGAGGUGACCAGUGGUCAGUUUGGGGGGUCAGGGGUCACUUUUGGGUGGUCAGGGGUCACUCUGGGGCGGUCAGGGGUCACUCUGGGGGGUCAUUGUUCACUCUGGGGGGGUCAUAGGUCACGGGGGGGGGGGGGGGGGGGGGGGGGGGGGGGGGGGGGGGGGGGGGGGGGGGGGGGGGGGGGGGGGGGGGGGGGGGGG